rnacentral:rRNA from 1 species
UGGGGAAUAUUGCGCAAUGGGGGGAACCCUGACGCAGCAACGCCGCGUGAAGGAUGAAGGUUUUCGGAUUGUAAACUUCUUUGACACAGGACGAAAAGGACGGUACUGUGAAAACAAGCCACGGCUAACUACGUGCCAGCAGCCGCGGUAAUACGUAGGUGGCGAGCGUUAUCCGGAAUUACUGGGUGUAAAGGGCGAGUAGGCGGAUUGAUAAGUCAGUAGUGAAAUACCACGGCUCAACUGUGGGGCUGCUAUUGAAACUGUUGAUCUUGAGUGAUGGAGAGGCAGGCGGAAUUCCCAGUGUAGCGGUGAAAUGCGUAGAGAUUGGGAGGAACACCAGUGGCGAAGGCGGCCUGCUGGACAUUAACUGACGCUGAGGAGCGAGAGCGUGGGGAGCAAACAGG